rnacentral:rRNA from 1 species
UACAGGGGAUGCAAGUGUUAUCCGGAAUUAUUGGGCGUAAAGCGUCUGCAGGUGGACUUUUAAGUCUUUGUUAAAUCUCUGGGCUUAACCUAGAAUAUGCAAAAGAAACUAUUUGUCUUGAGUAUGGUAGAGGUAAAGGGAAUUUCCAGUGGAGCGGUGAAAUGCUUAGAUAUUGGAAAGAACACCAAGAGCGAAGGCACUUUACUGGGCCAGUACUGACACUCAGAGACGAAAGCUAGGGGAGCAAACGGG